rfam:Nematostella vectensis strain CH2 x CH6 NEMVEscaffold_330_Cont24019, whole genome shotgun sequence.
GGCUCAGUGGUCUAGUGGUAUGAUUCUCGCUUUGGGUGCGAGAGGCCAUGGGUUCGAUUCCCGUCUGAGCCC